GUGUUAAGUCAAGCUACCAUGGCAGCACGGCUAUUGACUACUUCAAUUAUUGCUGAAGUUACACAGAACAAGAGACGCGGGACUUAGCAGCCGAAGAUUAUCGGCCGUUGUCCCAAACCGCUGCAGCUUCGUUAAAUUGAUGCGGUUCCUAGUGCGUAAUUAAGCCCCGCUCCAAUUGUUCUGACCUGAGGCGGUUUUGGGCAUUCACCGCAUCAAAUAACCCUGGGAGAAGAGGGUUUUUGUUUCCCUAAGAUAUACUCAAAGAAAAAAUUCUCAGUAACAAUAACACUUCAGUCUUUGGCGCGAGAACCCCAGCAGCGCAAAAGUGAGUCAAGCACUGGUCUCCUCCUCCGCCGUCGUGGCUCUUCCCCCUGUCAGUUCCAGCUUGCACGUCCGCUUCAUCGUUCUUCCCGGUCACCAGUCUCCUCCCUCAGCCGUGUAGCUCCCGUGCGUGAAGGUAAAGUGGAAGGGGUCCGAAUCUUCUCCUUCUGCCGUGCAUGUCCGUGACGUCGUCGGCGUCCUCCCCAGCCAUCCGUCCCUGUGUCAUCAUCGGCAGCCUUCUCCUCUUGCCCUGUUGUGCGUUGCCGAUCGCAAGAGACUCCCCUCUUAGUCCUCUGCCUGUGUCUCCUCAUCAUUUAAUUUGGAACAUACAUUCUUGAAAGGAAUAAAUGGGCCUUUAUUUUCAUGAGCAGUCUAUGUUUUUUACUU